GACAGAGGCCUCAAGCGUUAGGCGGAAUCACUGGGCUUAAAGCGUGUGUAGGCGGAUCGUUAAGUGCCUUGUGAAAUCCCACGGCUUAACUGUGGAACGGCUGGGCAUACUGGCGGUCUUGAGCCAUCUAGGGGCGACUGGAACAAACGGUGGAGCGGUGAAAUGCGUAGAUAUCGUUUGGAACGCCAAUGGUGAGAACAGGUCGCUGGGGAUGCGCUGACGCUGAGACACGAAAGCCAGGGGAGCAAACGGG
rnacentral:rRNA from 1 species